CAUCUUUUCAACAGAGUCUGAGACAAGUAGAAGAAACCGUCAUGAAAGAGGUGUAAAGAGAGAGUGAGAAACGGGUGCGGGACUUCACUGAACAUCUGAGAGAAGCAGACUCAGGAAUGUGAUCCAUGGCAUUAGCUUAUGGAGCUCCCAAAUCCAGAGGAGAUGUCAGAUUUCUGCCAGUCCUUGCAUGCAGAUUGAGAGAUCUGAAUCAGAUCCAGGCUUGUCUGCCUCCCUCAUCCACAUACUCAUUAAAAUCAUCAGAACUAAGGGUGUGAGAAGGAUGGGGCCUCAAGUGUCCAACAGUGAAAAGAUGGUGGUGCACGUCUCAAAAGCAAGACAGGUCAGAUUUCAGACGAAGUAGGGAAAACUGCUGAAGCAACACAGGCAUCCAACACCAGUCCCACCAAGGUAGGUGUGAAACUAUCUCAUCGCUGAGAUUCCUCUCUCUCAUUGCUGAGGAUGCAGCUUCAACCGCAACACAUCCCAUCUUUGAUUAUCGAGAUUAUGGAGCUGCUUGUAUCUUUCUAUGACGGAUCUAGUGCUGACACCCUUAAAUACAGGAGAAAAGCCUAUAACUAUGCCAGCAAAUGAUGUGCAGACUUCUGGGAACUACCUGUAAAGAAGACCCACAGCUGCCGGUAGAUUGUUCCCUUCCCUGCUCAGUUCUCCAGACUGCUGGUAAAAUAAACCAGGGAAAAUGAUGAAGAGGCCACUCGUUAUGAUACAGGCUGCUUAGGGACUGGUCUUUCCACUUAUUUCAGGAACGGCUGUUGAAAAAGUUUUCAGCACUACUAAGAACAGGAGCUCCCAGCAACAUCAUUUUGGACAUCCAUGCACAUGAAAAGAAUGUGGUGAAGCAGCCCUGGGGAGGGAGGAGAAUGGAGAAGACCUGCCCAGUGUUCCACCAGUUUCCCGUGCAGCUCAACUCUGUUUUUAAUAGCACAGUACCUUCUCCCCUCUGUCCUCCCCCCCUACCCCUAAAAAAAAAAAGAACAUUUUCCUAGCUUCUCCAGACUUCACACUGUUGAAUGUUACUUGUGAUUCAUGCUGUUACCUUGUGCAAUACUCCAGGAAAACAGACCAUAGACAGGCUCUGUCAGGAAGGGUUUUGUAAUGGAUGUGUCAUUUCUCUUGUAUCUAUAUUAAGGACAAAAUCCUGUGAUGGCUGAUGAAUUUGUAGACCCCAUCUUUCUGAAAUCACAUUAGCUGCUCAGAAGAGGAAGGCUGCUUUUCUUUCAGGCAAUGAUGAUAGCACUUUCCUGGAUGCGGGUCGAAAAAUAUUUACAUCAAUAUAAAUAAGCAGUGUGUAACUAUAAAUAAAGAACACAGGUAAUAAAAUGUUAUCAUUGAAGUUGAGAUUAAAAUUGAAUCCUGCCAAGCCCUAAACAUAGAUCAUGAUAGACAAAUCCAAUAUACCUUUUUUUUUUUUUUUUUUUGGUGGUGCUGUAAUUAUAGACUAGGUAAAGAAAAAAAGAUUAUACAGCAGACAUAAUUUGUAAUGAUUUCAGUAACAUUUCUGAGGUAACGCCAUGAGAAGCAAUGACUACUUGUGCAUGCUUCUCCACAAGUGUAUGUAUCCCCCCACCAAGAGAUGCACUUGGAUUUCAACCAGAGCAAUGCUGUGAGCUGGAUACCUCUGCCAUCUGAUACUGAUACAAUGCUGUUGGCUGGGUCACCUCUGCCAGGACUGUCCAUUCCCUGACCUUGCAGCUCGGUGCCCUGGCCAACAGGAGCCCCUGCUGUAAGAUCCAAAGACAAACGGAGAAGCAGUUCCCAAACCUGGAAAGAAAUCCUAUAUGACCAACAGUCAGGUGACAGCCCGCAGGACGUGUCAACAUGGUGUUGUAGCAUGGGGUUGUCCUUUGAUGGAAUGCUACCCACUGCCUAUACACCCGUCUCUAUCAUGGCGCCCAGGGAGCAGCUACCAGAUGUUCUGGGGGUUUGUUGUUGGCAAACAUCCUGCUCUCCUUAUGACCAGGGGGGAUGGGUUCCUGGGUGGGUUCCCCUCCUUUCUAGCAGGGUGUUUAUCCGUGCUGUAACUAACUGCCGGAUGGAUAUCAGCUCUUCCCAAAGUCUUCUCAAAUCUGAACAGCCGCAGCUCUCUCAGCCUGUCCUCAUAGAGGUGUUCCAUCUCUUGGAUCCUUUCUCUGGUCCUCCUCUGGACAUGUUCCAACAGGUCCACAUCUCUCAUAGGAAGCUGCCACUUCAUGGCAAGGAGCUGGUCUGAGCACUGUGUCCUCCACUGGCUGAACUAGGAAAAGGUUUGCAUCCACGGGCAGCAUGGUUUGGCAUGGAAAAGCACAGAUGGGCUCAGAAACUGUCUCCAAGCUGCUCUUGACAAGGUAGGAGGCAUUCCCUUUAAGUUAACCAGGAAUGGAGGCUCACACUGCCUCUCUGGAAAUCAAGGCUUGAGGCCAAAAGCAAUCUCUGAUAUCUCAACAGAUGAAAAUAGAGCUUAAAAAAAUAAGAACGUGUCAUGGAAUUAAAUGAGAACCACAGAUUUAGCAGGUCUGGUGACUUCCCAAGAGAAGCUGAGGAGAAACGUAGAGAAAAGGCUUGUUUUUGAGACACAGUGAAAUGAAUUACUAGUCCCUUCUGUAAAAUCUGUUAAAGUCUUGACUGCUGGACGUUUACUUUCAAUGAAGUCAGCUUCCACUGCAGUCUGCUGAAGAGCCCUAACUUGACUGUGCAGAUGCAAUUACUGAAAAUGAAUCUGUCAGAGACAUAUCACGUAAACAAGGAGUCCUGUUUUGGCUCUCCUCCUGAAGCCAUCUUUGCCUCAGGGAUAACCUCAGCCAAUGCUUCACAAACCCAGUGGGAACAAGCAGCGCAGGCACAAAGCAGACUGACUAAGAAGGUUAGUGAAACUUCAAAGUGUUAGCCAUGAGCUGGUAAUUGGUACCUGGGAGCCAGCCAUCCACAGGGAACAUCAAACAGCGUUAUUUUUGGCUCUCCACAAAAAAAUGUCAGGAUUAUUUUAUUUGGGUGCCAUUUCGGAACACCAGCAGCCCCUGACGGGCAGCACACGCCCGGUGCUUCUGCACCUUGAUGCACUUGUAGGUGUUUGUUUUGACAGGGGGUUGACAGCGUUUCAGUGCACAGUACAUCACAGGUGAUUUGUAAGGUGAGUGUGGUCUGACAGUGGGCUCCUCUGAGCCCAGCGCAGUGCACUGGUUUUCAGAGCAACAAGAUCUGUCUGCCAUUAACUAGACCUCUCUGCAAUUGUGCUGUUCUUCUCAUAAUAGAGAACUUAUUCCCCAAAAUUCAUCUUUUCUCUUUGAUCUGCGUGUGUUUCUGUAGGCAAUUACACAUUAAUAUAUCAAAGGCUAUUGACAAUGCCAAGAAAUGGGUAUGCUAAUAUUCUUGUUUAAUCAUACAUGGGUUUGGGUGUCGUUUGUUGUUUUGUUUUGUUUUAG
ensembl:lncRNA